rnacentral:rRNA from 1 species
GGUAUGGCGCAGCGGUCUUCGGAUCGCGGCGAGAAAGACCCGCAAGGGUUGCCAGAGGACGAGCCUGCGGCCCAUCAGCUAGUUGGCGAGGUAACGGCUCACCAAGGCGAAGACGGGUAGCUGGUCUGAGAGGAUGAUCAGCCACACUGGAACUGAGACACGGUCCAGACUCCUACGGGAGGCAGCAGGUGGGGAAUAUUGCGCAAUGGGCGAAAGCCUGACGCAGCCACGCCGCGUGAGCGAUGAAGGCCGUUCGGGUACGUAAAGCUCUGUGGGGAGAGAAGAAUAAAGCCUGUGAAGAGCAGGCCUUGACGGUAUCUCCUUAGCAAGCACCGGCUAACUCCGUG